rnacentral:rRNA from 1 species
AUACGGAGGAUCCGAGCGUUAUCCGGAUUUAUUGGGUUUAAAGGGUGCGCAGGCGGGAGAUUAAGUCGGCGGUGAAAUUUUUCCGCUUAACCGAAAAAGUGCCUUUGAAACUGGUUUUCUUGAGUGUAGAAGAAGUAAGCGGAACUUUGGGUGUAGCGGUGUAAUGCAUAGAUAUCACGAGGAACACCGAUUGCGCAGGCAGCUUACUAAACUACUACUGACGCUCAGGCACGAAGGCGUGGGGAUCAAACAGGAUUAGAUACCCUGGUAGUCCACGCAGUAAACGAUGAUUACUAGCUGUUUGCGAUACAAUGUAAGCGGCUGAGCGAAAGCGUUAAGUAAUCCACCUGGGGAGUACGUUCGCAAGAAUGAAACUCAAAUGAAUUGACGGGG